CCUACGGGAGGCAGCAGUGAGGAAUAUUGGUCAAUGGACGGAAGUCUGAACCAGCCAUGCCGCGUGCAGGAAGACGGCUCUAUGAGUUGUAAACUGCUUUUGUACAAGGGUAAACCUGAAUACGUGUAUUCAGCUGAAAGUACUGUACGAAUAAGGAUCGGCUAACUCCGUGCCAGCAGCCGCGGUAAUACGGAGGAUCCAAGCGUUAUCCGGAUUUAUUGGGUUUAAAGGGUGCGUAGGCGGAUUGAUAAGUUAGAGGUGAAAUGUUCGAGCUUAACUCGGGAACUGCCUCUAAUACUGUUGGUCUAGAGAGUAGAUGCGGUAGGCGGAAUGUAUGGUGUAGCGGUGAAAUGCUUAGAGAUCAUACAGAACACCGAUUGCGAAGGCAGCUUACCAAUCUAUAACUGACGUUGAGGCACGAAAGCGUGGGGAGCAAACAGGAUUAGAUACCCUAGUAGUC
rnacentral:rRNA from 1 species